GAUGAAGAACGUAGCGAAAUGCGAUAAGUAAUGUGAAUUGCAGAAUUCAGUGAAUCAUCGAAUCUUUGAACGCACAUUGCGCCCGCUGGUAUUCCGGCGGGCAUGCCUGUUCGAGCGUCAUUUCAACCCUCAAGCCCCCGGGUUUGGUGUUGGGCGACGUCCUCUUUGGGGACGCGCCUCGAAACGCUCGGCGGCGUGGCACCGGCUUUAAGCGUAGCAGAAUCUUUCGCUUUGGAAGUCGGGGCCCCGUCUGCCGGAAGACCUGCUCGCAAGGUUGACCUCGGAUCAGGCAGGGAUACCCGCUGAACUUAAGCAUAUCAAUAAGCGGAGGA
rnacentral:misc_RNA from 1 species